rnacentral:rRNA from 1 species
UACGUAGGGGGCAAGCGUUGUCCGGAAUCAUUGGGCGUAAAGCGCGCGUAGGCGGCCCGAUAAGUCUGCUGUGAAAGUCAAAGGCUCAACCUUUGAAUGCCAGUGGAUACUGUCGGGCUAGAGUACGGAAGAGGCGAGUGGAAUUCCUGGUGUAGCGGUGGAAUGCGCAGAUAUCAGGAGGAACACCAAUAGCGAAGGCAGCUCGCUGGGACGUUACUGACGCUAAGGCGCGAAAGCGUGGGGAGCGAAC